GUGGGGAAUUUUGGACAAUGGGGGGAACCCUGAUCCAGCCAUGCCGCGUGUGUGAAGAAGGCCUUUUGGUUGUAAAGCACUUUAAGCGAGGAGGAGGCUACCGAGAUUAAUACUCUUGGAUAGUGGACGUUACUCGCAGAAUAAGCACCGGCUAACUCUGUGCCAGCAGCCGCGGUAAUACAGAGGGUGCAAGCGUUAAUCGGAUUUACUGGGCGUAAAGCGCGCGUAGGUGGCCAAUUAAGUCAAAUGUGAAAUCCCCGAGCUUAACUUGGGAAUUGCAUUCGAUACUGGUUGGCUAGAGUAUGGGAGAGGAUGGUAGAAUUCCAGGUGUAGCGGUGAAAUGCGUAGAGAUCUGGAGGAAUACCGAUGGCGAAGGCAGCCAUCUGGCCUAAUACUGACACUGAGGUGCGAAAGCAUGGGGAGCAAACAGGAUUAGAAACCCCAGUAGUCC
rnacentral:rRNA from 1 species